GCACUCCGCUUACACCGGACAGACCUCUGUAAAACCCAGAUUAUUGUGAGCUAACCCCCUAGCCCUAAUUUUCCCCAUGCUAUCCCUUCAACUUCACUCACUAACUAAAACAUUUUAAUAAUUUAGUAAAGGAGAUUGAAAAACCUUUAGGAGCUAUAAAAAGAGUACCGCAAGGGAAAGAUGAAAUAAAAAUGAAACAAAUUUUAAGCAAAAAAUAGUAGAGAUAAACCCUCGUACCUUUUGCAUCAUAAUUUAACCAGUUUAAUCAAGCAAAAAGAUCUUCAGUUUGACUUCCCGAAACUAGACGAGCUACUUUGAGGCAGCUUACUGAGCUAACCCGUCUCUGUUGCAAAAGAGUGGGAAGACCUCUAAGUAGUAGUGACAGACCAACCGAGUUUAGUAAUAGCUGGUUGCUUAAGAAAAGGACCUAAGUCCACACUAAAUUAACCCCAUACACAAAAAUCCUGCCUUUAAUUUAGACCCAUUCAAACAAGGUACAGCCUGUUUGAAAAAGGAUACAACCUCUUUAUAUGGGUAAUAAACGCAAUUUUUAUAAUUAAGUAGGCCUAAAAGCAGCCACCUUAAAUAAUAGCGUCAUAGCUAAAUUAUAAAUAAGCCUAAUUCCCCUGACUUCCUAAAACCCUACAUCGUUAUUAAGCAAUUCUAUACUUUUAUAGAAAAUUUUAUGUUAAAACUAGUAACAAGAAGUUAAACUUCUCUUUAAUGCAAGCUCUAAUCAGACCGGAUUAACCACUGAUAAAUAACACUCAUAAUCCCUGAGUAGUAACCAAUCAAGAAAACUCUACUCCCACUGGUGUUAACCUAACACAAGAGCAUUUCAAGAAAGAUUAAAAGAAAAAGAAGGAACUCGGCAAACAUUGACCCCGCCUGUUUACCAAAAACAUCGCCUCUUGACCUAUAUAAGAGGUCCAGCCUGCCCAGUGACAUGGUUCAACGGCCGCGGUAUCCUAACCGUGCGAAGGUAGCGUAAUCACUUGUUCUUUAAAUGAGGACUAGUAUGAAGGGCAUCACGAGAGUCACACUGUCUCCUCUUUCUAAUCAGUAAAACUAAUCUCCCCGUGAAGAAGCGGGGAUAAAAAUAUAAGACGAGAAGACCCUAUGGAGCUUUAAACAAACAACACUUGCCUCCCUUAUCUAAAUUUCAGAAAAACCCUUCACUCUGGCAUCAUGAUUGCUAGUUUUCGGUUGGGGUGACCACGGAACAAAAAAUAACCUCCGAAAUGAAAAUACUCCUCCACUAAAUCAAGGACCACAAUCCUACAUAUCAACAAAUUGACAUCAAUUGACCCAACAUGUUGAUCAAUGAAUCAAGUUACCCUAGGGAUAACAGCGCAAUCCACUUCAAGAGCCCUUAUCGCCAAGUGGGUUUACGACCUCGAUGUUGGAUCAGGGUAUCCUGGUGGUGCAGCCGCUACUAAAGGUUCGUUUGUUCAACGAUUAAAACCCU
rnacentral:rRNA from 1 species